rnacentral:tRNA from 5 species
GCUCGGGUGGCGGAAUUGGUAGACGCGCACGUUUGAGGGGCGUGUGGGUAACCGUGUGGGUUCAAGUCCCAUCUCGAGCACCA